GGCCGUUCUUAGUUGGUGGAGCGAUUUGUCUGGUUAAUUCCGAUAACGAACGAGACUCUGGCCUGCUAACUAGGCGUAUUACCGACAUCUCGAAGGCCCGUCGGCUAGGUGCGCUCGCGCGCCUUGUCGCACGCGGUUUUUACUGUCGGCGUACAAACAAUUCUUCUUAGAGGGACAGGCGGCUUCUAGCCGCACGAGAUAGAGCAAUAACAGGUCUGUGAUGCCCUUAGAUGUUCUGGGCCGCACGCGCGCUACACUGAAGGAAUCAGCGUGUCUUCCCUGGCCGAGCGGUCCGGGUAACCCGCUGAACCUCCUUCGUGCUAGGGAUUGGGGCUUGCAAUUGUUCCCCAUGAACGAGGAAUUCCCAGUAAGCGCGAGUCAUAAGCUCGCGUUGAUUACGUCCCUGCCCUUUGUACACACCGCCCGUCGCUACUACCGAUUGAAUGAUUUAGUGAGGUCUUCGGACCGGCACGCGGUGGCGUUUCGACGUCGCCGAUGCUGCUGGAAAGAUGACCAAACUUGAUCAUUUAGAGGA
rnacentral:rRNA from 1 species